rnacentral:piRNA from 1 species
UGUACAUGUGGUAACAAAGUAAAGGGAAGA